AUUGAACGCUGGCGGCAGGCUUAACACAUGCAAGUCGAACGAGUGGCGGACGGGUGAGUAAUGCUUGGGAAUCUAGCUUAUGGAGGGGGAUAACUACGGGAAACUGUAGCUAAUACCGCGUACCAUAGGAUGAGCCCAAGGGGGAUUAGGUAGUUGGUGAGGUAAAGGCUAACCAAGCCGACGAUCACUAGCUGGUCUGAGAGGAUGACCAGGCACCCUGGGACUGAGAAACAGCCCAGACUCCAACGGGAGGAAGCAGUGGGAAAUAUGGCGCAAUGGGGGCAACCUGACGCAGCCAUGCAGCGUGAAUGAAGAAGGACUUCGGGUUGUAAAGUGCUUGCGGUAGCGAGGCGUUAACUACAGAAGAAGCACCGGCUAACUCCGUGCCAGCCGCCGCGGUAAUAC
rnacentral:rRNA from 1 species